rnacentral:rRNA from 1 species
GAUGAACGCUGGCGGCGUGCCUAAUACAUGCAAGUCGAGCGAACAGACGAGGAGCUUGCUCCUCUGACGUUAGCGGCGGACGGGUGAGUAACACGUGGAUAACCUACCUAUAAGACUGGGAUAACUUCGGGAAACCGGAGCUAAUACCGGAUAAUAUAUUGAACCGCAUGGUUCAAUAGUGAAAGACGGUUUUGCUGUCACUUAUAGAUGGAUCCGUGCCGCAUUAGCUAGUUGGUAAGGUAACGGCUUACCAAGGCAACGAUGCGUAGCCGACCUGAGAGGGCGACCGGCCACACUGGAACUGAGACACGGCCCAGACUCCUACGGGAGGCAGCAGUAGGGAAUCUUCCGCAAUGGGCGAAAGCCUGAUGGAGCAACGCCGCGUGAGUGAUGAAGGUCUUCGGGUCGUAAAACGCUGUUAUUAGGGAAGAACAAAUGUGUAAGUAUCUAUGCACGUCUUGACGGUACCUAAUCAGAAAGCCACGGCUAACUACGUG